CAAAACGUAUUGAUGGGAAUAGUAGGAAAGCCCCUGCACGAUCAGAGAGUAAAUUCCACCGGCUGCGAGAAUUUACCGUGGAGCCUUGCCGAACCCGCCCCUGAACGGCCAGCGACGAGCUGGACGGCUUUCCCUGCCGUUACAAGGGACUGAAGCAGGAUGGAUUGGUCGUCAAUUCAUCAAGUAAGGUGGUACCGCGGAAGUAGAGGCUUUCGUCCUUAAA
rnacentral:ncRNA from 1 species